rnacentral:rRNA from 1 species
UGUAACGAGUGUGAAGAGGCCGCGUGAAUGCGUAGGGAGUAAGCGUUAAGAGGAAGUCGUGGGCGUGAAGGGCGCGCAGGCGGUGUAGUGAGAUGGGGGUGAAAGCCCCGGGCGUAACCGGGGGUGUGCAUGGAUAACUUGCUAGCUAGAGGACAGUAGAGGGUGGGGGAAUUGCCUGGGUAGCGGUGAAAUGCGUAGAGAUGGGGAGGAACACAAGUGGCGAAGGCGACCACCUGGACUGAGACUGACGCUGAGGUGCGAAAGCGUGGGGAGCAAACAGGAUUAGAUACCCUAGUAGUC